AGUCAGCGUUUCCUUUGUUGGCUCUUGUUAAGGUGUUUAUAAUGGAGCCUUUUUUCUGCUCUGUACUCUCACCCUCGUGAGUGAAAUCUCAGUCGAGGAGGAUGUCCUGCUUCCCGAACACCUAGGCCUGAGAGGAGCACUGGCCCCUUCGGACGCGGCCGCGCUCUGAAAGCCCAAACCCUCUCUGGACGAACCCAGAUUCCCUUCACGCAGGAGGACUCCAGAAGUAGUUCCGAACUUGUUCAGACUUGGAAUUGUCUUUUUCGUGAUUUCUGGGCUACACGUUCAAAUUACUUCUAAAACUCACAAAGCCGAGGAUCUUCAAACUUCACGGUUCUGAAAGAGAAAUGCAAACGUUGAUUGCCGCA